rnacentral:rRNA from 1 species
GGUAUUUUGACCGUGCAAAGGUAGCAUAAUCAUUAGUUUCUUAAUUGAAAGCUGGUAUGAAAGGUUGGAUGAGAAAUAAGCUGUCUCUAUUUAAUUUUAUUAGAAUUUUAUUUUUAAGUUAAAAAGCUUAAAUUUAAAUAGAAGACGAGAAGACCCUAUAGAGUUUUAUUUAUUUUUUUAAUAAAAUUAAUAGUAUUAAUUAUUUUUAUUAAAGGAAUAAAUUUGGUUGGGGUGAUUGAAAAAUUUAAUGAACUUUUUUUAUAGGUAUACAUUUAUAUAUGAUUAAUUGAUCCUUAAUUUAAGAUUAAAAGAUAAAAUUACCUUAGGGAUAACAGCGUAAUUUUUUUUGAGAGUUCUAAUCGAAAGAAAAGAUUGCGACCUCGAUGUUGGAUUAAAAUAAAAUUUUGGUGUAGAAGCUAAAG